AUACGUAGGUGGCGAGCGUUAUCCGGAUUUACUGGGUGUAAAGGGCGUGUAGGCGGGUUGGCAAGUUGGAUGUGAAAAACCGCUGCUUAACGGCGGGCCUUCAUUCCAAACUGUCAAUCUUUAGUGUCAGAGGGGGAAGUGGAAUUCCUCGAGGGGCGGUAAAAAGCGUAGAGAUUAGGAGGAACACCGGUGGCGAAGGCGACUUUCUGGCUGACAACUGACGCUGAGACGCGAAAGCGUGGGGAGCAAACAGGAUUAGAUACUCUGGUAGUCCACGCCGUAAACGAUGAGCACUAGGUGUCGGGCUCGCAAGAGUUCGGUGCCGCAGUUAACGCAUUAAGUGCUCCGCCUGGGGAGUACGUACGCAAGUAUGAAACUCAAAGGAAUUGGCGGGG
rnacentral:rRNA from 1 species